rnacentral:lncRNA from 1 species
GGAGAGUGAAAUUUUCUUAUCAGUUGCGAACAACUCCUUCCUCUCCCCAGUUCCCCCAGUAACACCACCAGGUAAUCUCCAUGGCAUAUAAGAGAAAAGUACACCCCACCACGCCGCAGUAGAGCCGCGUCUGAACUGCGCUUUGGUCGUUUCUACAUCAUUCCAAUUUGUGUUUGUACCGGGGCUUUGGAUGUGUGUCAGAUAAAAUGUGUAAGAAAAUAUGAGCUUCAUUGAAAAUGCAACGAAGAAAGGAGUCUUUAAUUAAAGGGAUUGUCACGUUGCCCCUAACCAGUCCCAGCACUUUCAGUCAGGCUUCGACCUUUGGGUUCUGUACUGGCCACUUUUGUAUGUGAACUUGACACAGGCUAGAAUCAUCGCGGCAGAAAGGAGCUUCACCUGGAAAUGCUUCCACGAGAUCCAGCCGUAAGGCAGAAAGCAAAACUUCCGUCAACACACCGAAUGAAAAACAGAAAUAAAAAGGAGGAGGAUGCGACUACUUCUUAG